CUGGCGGUAUGCUUACACAUGCAAGUCGAACGGUCUUUUCGGAGAUAGUGGCGGACGGGUGAGUAACGCGUAAGAAUCUACCUUCAGGUUGGGGACAACCACUGGAAACGGUGGCUAAUACCGAAUGUGCCGAGAGGUGAAAGGCUUGCUGCCUGAAGAAGAGCUUGCGUCUGAUUAGCUAGUUGGUGGGGUAAGAGCCUACCAAGGCGACGAUCAGUAGCUGGUCUGAGAGGAUGAUCAGCCACACUGGGACUGAGACACGGCCCAGACUCCUACGGGAGGCAGCAGUGGGGAAUUUUCCGCAAUGGGCGAAAGCCUGACGGAGCAAUACCGCGUGAGGGAGGAAGGCUCUUGGGUUGUAAACCUCUUUUCUCAGGGAAGAAGAAAGUGACGGUACCUGAGGAAUAAGCAUCGGCUAACUCCGUGCCAGCAGCCGCGGUAAUACGGAGGAUGCAAGCGUUAUCCGGAAUGAUUGGGCGUAAAGGGUCCGCAGGUGGCAUUGUAAGUCUGCUGUUAAAGAGUUUGGCUCAACCAAAUAAAAGCAGUGGAAACUACAAAGCUAGAGUGUGGUCGGGGCAGAGGGAAUUCCUGGUGUAGCGGUGAAAUGCGUAGAUAUCAGGAAGAACAUCGGUGGCGAAGGCGCUCUGCUAGGCCAAGACUGACACUGAGGGACGAAAGCUAGGGGAGCGAAUGGGAUUAGAUACCCCAGUAGUCCUAGCCGUAAACGAUGGAUACUAGGCGUAGCUCGUAUCGACCCGAGCUGUGCCGUAGCUAACGCGUUAAGUAUCCCGC
rnacentral:rRNA from 1 species